CAGGAUGAACGCUAGCUACAGGCUUAACACAUGCAAGUCGAGGGGCAGCGAGAGGAAAGCUUGCUUCCUUGUCGGCGACCGGCGCACGGGUGAGUAACGCGUAUCCAACCUUCCCCAUAGUAGAGGAUAGCCCGGCGAAAGUCGGAUUAAUACUCUAUGUUGUGUCAUGAGGACAUCUGAAUAACACUAAAGAUUUAUCGCUAUGGGAUGGGGAUGCGUCUGAUUAGCUUGUCGGCGGGGUAACGGCCCACCGAGGCGACGAUCAGUAGGGGUUCUGAGAGGAAGGUCCCCCACAUUGGUACUGAGACACGGACCAAACUCCUACGGGAGGCAGCAGUGAGGAAUAUUGGUCAAUGGACGAGAGUCUGAACCAGCCAAGUAGCGUGCAGGAAUGACUGCCCUAUGGGUUGUAAACUGCUUUUAUGCGGGAAUAAAGUCAGGUACGUGUACCUGUUUGUAUGUACCGCAUGAAUAAGGACCGGCUAAUUCCGUGCCAGCCGCAGC
rnacentral:rRNA from 1 species